rnacentral:lncRNA from 1 species
CUUACUAUAUCAACUUCAACAAUGAAUAUAAUCUCAUUAACAAUGAAAGUUUUCUCUACCAAAAAGCUACUGCAUUAGUUCAUAUUAUUUUUCAAAUUUUACUACAAAUUGCUUUGAUUUGAAAAUUUUUCCGUAGUUCAUGGAUCUUGGUACAUGCCAUGCUUUGCACGACGCUGUACUAGUAUGUUAAACACAGAAAAUACAAGCACCCACCCAUUUUUAGAAAUAAUUAGAAGGUUUCGAAUGCAUUAGUGGGAAUGAAAACCUAAACCAAUAGCUGAGGAGACUCAACUGGUGUUACUACCACAACCUCAACCCGAUUCCCAAAAUUUAGUACAUUAAACACAAAAAAUUACAGGUUCUCCAAAGCCAUAUCGAUAAGUAAAGCGCAAUUUCCAGCUCCGCUCUUCUUGACAUCGAGCAAGGUCUCAUACUUUAAUAGUAUCAUCGUCAGAGCAAGAGCAAAACUUCAGGUCCGUCCUUGAGAAACUGUUUAAAAUAAUAAGUCCAUAUAUUGCCCAUGGAUGAUUAAUAAAUACAUGUUUGCUUGCAACUAAAAAGUUAAACGAUCAAAAGUUAAAAAUUUUCUUUUUCUUGAGAGUCCCAAACAUGUACCUCAAGUCACGAACGUACUCUUUGUGUGCAGAUUUAUUAGCCUUCACAUAAUUUAUGUCAGAUAACUUAGAAGUAAGAACUACACAGAGACAGAGCAUUUCUUCAAAAAACUAAGGAACAAAGGGGAGAGAGAGAGAGAUCACCCAUCAACAGCUAGUAGGCAUUAAUACACAUAGAAACAAAGUAGAAACUGGGAACCCAUCAAAAUAAAAAAAAAUAAACAAACAGUGAGAGGGAGAGAUAUAUAUAUAUAUAUAUAUAUAUAUACAUGUUUGCUUGCAACUAAAAAGUUAAACGAUCAAAAGUUAAAAAUUUUCUUUUUCUUGAGAGUCCCAAACACGUACCUCAAGUCACGAACGUACUCUUUGUGUGCAGAUUUAUUAGCCUUCACAUUAUUCAUGUCAGAUAACUUAGAAGUAAGAACUACACAGAGACAGAGCACUUCUUCAAAAAAUAAGGAACAAAGGGGAGAGAGAGAGAGAUCACCCAUCAACAGCUAGUAUGCAUUAAUACACAUAGAAACAAAGUAGAAACUGG